rnacentral:rRNA from 1 species
AUGCCGUUCAAGCACCAGCUCCUCCUCUCGACCGCCGUCCUGCUCGUCGCACUUGCCGCAGGGUCGGCCAGCUUCAGGGACCGAUGCGUUCCAGGGCGGGAGAUCACAUACGAGUCGCUUAACGCCCGCCGCGAGUACGCGGUCAGACAAACAUGCGGCUACUACCUCUCCGCCGAGAGGCAGAAGAGGCGGUGCUGCGACGAGCUGUCCAAGGUCCCGGAGCUGUGCUGGUGCGAGGUGCUGCGCAUCCUCAUGGACAGGAGAGUGACUAAGGAGGGCGUGGUCAAGGGCAGCCUCCUUCAGGACAUGUCCAGAUGCAAAAAGCUGACGAGGGAGUUCAUCGCGGGCAUCGUCGGCCGGGAGUAG